rnacentral:rRNA from 1 species
CCUACGGGCGGCAGCAGUGGGGAAUAUUGGACAAUGGGCGAAAGCCUGAUCCAGCCAUGCCGCGUGUGUGAAGAAGGCCUUCGGGUUGUAAAGCACUUUCAGUGGGGAAGAAAGCCUUGGGGCUAAUACCCUCGAGGAAGGACAUCACCCACAGAAGAAGCACCGGCUAACUCCGUGCCAGCAGCCGCGGUAAUACGGAGGGUGCGAGCGUUAAUCGGAAUUACUGGGCGUAAAGCGCGCGUAGGCGGUCUGAUAAGCCGGUUGUGAAAGCCCCGGGCUCAACCUGGGAACGGCAUCCGGAACUGUCAGGCUAGAGUGCAGGAGAGGAAGGUAGAAUUCCCGGUGUAGCGGUGAAAUGCGUAGAGAUCUGGAGGAAUACCAGUGGCGAAGGCGGCCUUCUGGACUGACACUGACGCUGAGGUGCGAAAGCGUGGGUAGCAAACAGGAUUAGAUACCCGUGUAGUC